rnacentral:rRNA from 1 species
AGAGUUUGAUCCUGGCUCAGGAUGAACGCUAGCGGCAGGCUUAACACAUGCAAGUCGAGGGGCAGCGGGGAGGAAGCUUGCUUUCUCCGCCGGCGACCGGCGCACGGGUGAGUAACACGUAUGCAACCUGCCCCUGUCAGGGGGACAACCCGCCGAAAGGCGGGCUAAACCCGCGUACAUGCCACCGGGGCAUCCCGGAGGCAGGAAAGGCUUCGGCCGGACAGGGAUGGGCAUGCGGCGCAUUAGGCAGUAGGCGGGGUAACGGCCCACCUAACCGACGAUGCGUAGGGGUUCUGAGAGGAAGGUCCCCCACACUGGUACUGAGACACGGACCAGACUCCUACGGGAGGCAGCAGUGAGGAAUAUUGGUCAAUGGUCGGGAGACUGAACCAGCCAAGCCGCGUGAGGGAGGAAGGUACAGAGUAUCGUAAACCUCUUUUGUCAGGGAACAAAGGCGGGGACGUGUCCCCGGAUGAGUGUACCUGAGGAAAAAGCAUCGGCUAACUCCGUGCCAGCAGCCGCGGUAAUACGGAGGAUGCGAGCGUUAUCCGGAUUUAUUGGGUUUAAAGGGUGCGCAGGCGGUCUGUUAAGUCAGCGGUCAAAGCCCGGGGCUCAACCCCGGCCCGCCGUUGAAACUGGCAGUCUCGAGUUGGAGAGAAGUAUGCGGAAUGCGCGGUGUAGCGGUGAAAUGCAUAGAUAUCGCGCAGAACUCCGAUUGCGAAGGCAGCAUGCCGGCUCCACACUGACGCUGAGGCACGAAAGCGUGGGUAUCGAACAGGAUUAGAUACCCUGGUAGUCCACGCAGUAAACGAUGAAUGCUGGCUGUCCGGGGGGAUUGACCCCUGGGUGGCGAAGCGAAAGCGAUGAGCAUUCCACCUGGGGAGUACGCCGGCAACGGCGAAACUCAAAGGAAUUGACGGGGGCCCGCACAAGCGGAGGAACAUGUGGUUUAAUUCGAUGAUACGCGAGGAACCUUACCCGGGCUCAAACGGGGAGUGACUCAGGCAGAGACGCCUGUUUCCCACGGGACACUCCCCGAGGUGCUGCAUGGUUGUCGUCAGCUCGUGCCGUGAGGUGUCGGCUUAAGUGCCAUAACGAGCGCAACCCCCGCGUGCAGUUGCUAACAGAUAACGCUGAGGACUCUGCACGGACUGCCGGCGCAAGCCGCGAGGAAGGCGGGGAUGACGUCAAAUCAGCACGGCCCUUACGUCCGGGGCGACACACGUGUUACAAUGGGUGGUACAGCGGGAAGCCAGGCGGCGACGCCGAGCGGAACCCGAAAUCCACUCUCAGUUCGAAUCGGAGUCUGCAACCCGACUCCGUGAAGCUGGAUUCGCUAGUAAUCGCGCAUCAGCCAUGGCGCGGUGAAUACGU